AUCAUACAAGUGAAAGUGAGGUCAUCAUGCAGAAGAUGAGGGCAACGCUUGAAUACAGACAGCGCCUUGUCCAUGAUCCAGAGAGGUCCACCACUGUUCUUUCAGUUUUUCCUUGAUUUCUGGAUACUAAAGGAUUGAUUCUUCAAGACUUCACGCUCCUCUUUGGGUCUGAAACUGCUUCCAGACUUUUGGAAAGGUGGCCAACAGCUUUCAAAGCAAUCAUCUUCCAAUCUGAACAGAGAAGGCAGUGAAGCCCAGGAUUCUCCAGAAUGGGACAGUGACAUAUCUUCCUUCCUUCCUUCCUUCUACUCCUGCAUCUUUUAUGACCCCAGGCUUCAGGAAGAAAGAAAACCCAAAAGAUCAGUAUCUCUCAGGCUGUUGACCAAGAUGGCGCCGCGAAUGGCAGCCUCAGUGCUUAGCUCUCAAGUGCUCGUAUUGUUUUUGUUAGU